ACAUCAGAAGAAACACCCUGUUGUUCAACUUAGAAGUGAUGCAGCUACUGAAAGGUAAUACAGUUUUGAUUCAUUUCAUAUUUAAGUGAUAUUUUGAAACUGAAAUUAAUGAUUUGAAGCCUUUUGAUAUUAUUGUAAUAAUUUGUUUAAAUCUUGUGAACAUAUAUUUUACUCAUAAGAGAUUUAUUUACUUCGUUGAAUCUUCAAAACAGUCCAGCAAAUACAUCACAGCUACUACUCCCUGUAACUGUAUAUCAAUAUCUCAGUUUGAUCUCUGACUUUGUCAGAAGGUAGGAUAAAUAACAGAUGCUGUGUGCUCUGCAGGGACAAACAGACGUCUACAUUGAGUAGCGCUACUGUCUGUUUAUGCCAGAGUGCUACUGACCUCAAACAUGGCUGCCAGAGGUUGCAUUAUGUCCCAGGAUCUCCUAUAAAGUAUCAGACUACGUGAAAACAUUAACAUUUGAGCCCUGAUACUGACCACUGCAUUAAUCUCCUGCCACACCCGCACUCUCCGGCUGUGGAACGCAGUUUAGACAGUAACCCAAGCCAGAACAAACGGAGGAGCUAAAAAUACAAACAGUCGACAGGCUGGCUGCUGUGGGAUUGAGGCAGGGGGCAUGGGAGGGUCUGUAUGUGGGGCUUAGGCAGGCUGGCAGAGGGGAUGGACAACUGGGGAGAGAGAUGGCGCAACAGCUAGAGGAAAAAACAGAAAGAAAUUGCAAAUAAAACCAGCACAAUUUACUGUCAUUUGAGGGUAGAGCAGUGGAGGAAGGUUUAUCUCCCAACCUGCUUCUCUUCCUUGUCUCUUCUUUGACAUCUUACUCAUUGUGCCCGGAGGUGAUGAACUUUACUCUCGGCUUCAAGCCCCCAGCAGCAGGCAGUUCUGGGCCCGGAGCUAGCAGUGGAGUCACGAUGGAGAACCUGGAGAAGCAGCUGAUCUGCCCCGUCUGCCUGGAGCUGUUCUCCAAACCCGUGGUGAUCCUGCCCUGCCAGCACAACCUCUGUCGCAAGUGUGCCAACGACAUCUUCCAGUCAGCUAAUCCUCUGUGGCAGUCCCGAGGCUCGUCCAGCAUCGUUGCCAGCGGCGGCCGCUUCCGCUGCCCGUCCUGCCGCCAUGAGGUGGUGCUGGACCGCCAUGGAGUGUUCGGCCUGCAGAGGAACCUGCUGGUGGAGAACAUCAUCGACAUCUACAGACAGCAGGAGUCCUCCAGGCUUGUAAACAUGAAGCCAGAGCAGCAGCAGCAGCUGAUGUGUGACGAACAUGAAGAGGAGAAGAUCAACAUUUACUGCUUGUCCUGCCAGACGCCGACCUGCUCCAUGUGCAAAGUGUUCGGACAACACAAAGACUGUGAUGUGGCUCCGCUCAGCAGCGUCUACAUGAGACAGAAGACGGAGCUGAGCGACGGCAUCGCCAUGCUGGUCGCCAGUAACGACCACAUCCAGGCAGUCAUCUCUCAGAUGGAGGAAAUCUGCCGCACUGUGGAGGACAACGGCCAGCGACAGAGAGAACACCUGGCCAACCAUUUUGACAACUUGGUGUCCAUCCUGGAGGAGCGGAAGCAGGAGCUGGUGGGUGUCAUUACCAAAGAACAGGAUGAUAAGCUCAAACACAUGAGGUCCCUCAUUCGUCGACACGGUGAUCACCUGGAGGGUGCCGUCACUCUGGUGGAGUCGGCCAUACAGUCCAUGGAGGAGCCACACAUGUCUUUGUUCUUACAGGUGGGUGAAACUACACAUCUGAGUUAUCAUGGUUGUUUCAGGGUGUAUGACAUAGAGUGCUCAGUUUGGUUAUGAUGGAAAAUAAAAUGGCAGCCACAAGGCGUUUUUUGCGAUGGCGACAUUUCUGAAAAUGUUCAGGGAAUUACACUACAGGUCAUAAAUUUGAACACACCUUCUCAUUUAAUGUUUUUUCUUUAUUUUCAUGACUAUUUACAUUGUAGACUCUCACUGAAGGCAUCAAAACUAUGAAUGAACAUAUAUGGAAUUAUGCAGUAAACAAAAAAGUGUGAAAUAAGUCAAAACAUGUUUUAUAUUUUCCAUUCUUCCAAAUAGCCACCCUUUGCUUUGAUUGCUGCUUUGCACACUCUUGGCAUUCUCUCCAUGAUCUUCAUGAGGCCGUCACCUGAAAUGGUUUUCCAACAGUCUUGAAGGAGUUCCUAAAGAUGCUGAGCACUUGUUGGUCCUUCUGCCUUCACUCUGUGCUUCAUCUCAUCUCAAACCAUCUGGAUUGGGUUUAGGUCAGGUGACUGUGGAGGCCAGGUCAUCUGAAGCAGCACUCCAUCUCUGUCCUUCUUGGUCAAAUAGCUCUUAUACAGCCUAGAGGAAUGUUUGGGUUCAUUGUCCUGUUGAAAAGUAAAUGAUGGUCCAACUAAACGGAAGCCGGAUGGGAUGGGAUGUCACUGCAGGAUGCUGUGGUAGCCAUGCUGGUUCAGUGUGAUUUCAGUUUUUGAAUAAAUCCCCAACAGUGUCAUCAGCAAAGCACCCUCACUCCAUCACACCUCCUCCUCCAUGCUUCAUGUUGGGAACCAUGAAUGUAGAGACCAUCCAUUCACCUUUUCUGUGCCACACAAAGACACAGUGGGUAGAACCAAAGAUCUCUCAUUUGAACUCAUCAGACCAAAGCACAGAUUUCCACUGGUCUAAUGUCCAUUCCUUGUGUUUCUUGGCCCAAACAAUUCUCUUCUGCUUGUGGCUUUGUGGUUUCUUAGCAGCUAUUUGACCAUAAAGUCCUGAUUGGUCAGUCUCUUCUGAACAGUUGAUGUAGAGAUUUCUGCUACUAGAACUCUAUGUGACGUUUAUCAGGGCUCUAAUCUGAGCUGCUGUUAACUUGUGAUUUCUGAGGCUGGUGACUCAGAUGAACUUCUCCUCAGCAGCAGAGGUGAGUCUUGGUCUUCCUUUCCUGUGGCGGUCCUCAUGUGAGUCAGUUUCGUGGUAGCACUUGAUGUUUUUUGUGCCUGCACUUGGGGAUACGUUCAGAGUUUUUGCAAUUUUCCAGACAGACUGACCUUCAGUUCUUAAAGUAAUGAUGGACUGUUGUUUCUCUUUACUUAGCUGAUUGGUUCUUGCCAUAGAAUAGAUUCUAACAGUUGUCAAAGAGAACUGUGUACCAACCUGACUUCUGCACAACACAACUGAUGGUCCCAACCCCAUUAAGAAGGCAAGAAAUUCCACAAAUGAACCUUGACAAGGCACACCUGUGAAGUAAAAACCACUUCAGGUGACUAUCUCAUGAAGCUCAUCAAGAGAAGACCAAGAGUGUACAAAGCUAUCAUCACAGAAAGGGUUGCCUACUUUGUUUACUAGUGCUACAUGGCCUGUGUGUUGGCGUGCUGCUUUGUGUUCUCUCUCUCUCUCCCUCUCUCUCUCCAGGCUCCUCUGCUGCUGUGAAGGUGUGGCAGGUGAUGGUGAUUAGUCUGAUUGCUGCUGCUGUGAAGGUGUGGCAGGUGCUGGUGUUUAGUCUGAUUGCUGCUGCUGUGAAGGUGUGGCAGGUGAUGGUGAUUAGUCUGAUUGCUGCUGCUGUGAAGGUGUGGCAGAUGCUGGUGUUUAGUCUGAUUGAGCAGGAGAGUACAUGUAGCAGGAGAGAGCUGUGGUCUCUCGCUCUCUGGACUCCUCUCAGCAGUCCUGUGUGGAGCAGUAGUGACCUGUUGGCUUUGUGGAGCUGUUUGAUAGUUUGGGUACUUUGCAGGCCUCCAGUGGCUGAGGAGCCUGCAGUAGUUUGGUAGUUUCCUUUGUUCUUUGGCUUUUUAGGUUUACCAGGUGGUAUAUGGGCUUCCCUGUGGUUUUAAGUUGUGUAAAUGAACAUUCAUCACCUUUUCUUUCCAUAAUUUGUCUCGAUUUUCUUUAUUUAACCUGGGUUUUAAAUUAUUGUUUCUUCAUCCCCUUACCAUCUUUUAGAUCAUAACAAAUACAUAACUCCAUAUAUCCUGCUUCAUAGUUUUGAUGUCUUCACUAUGUAUCCACAAUGUAGAAAGUAGUAAAAAUAAAGAAACACUGAAUGAAAAGGUGUCCAAACUUUGACUGGGAGUAUAUAUCAAUAGUUUGUCAGUGUUUUUAGUUUGGAUUUUUUUUUUUUAGUUGCUCUCAUUUACCACAGUUAGCCUCAAUGCAAACUUUUUAAUUGGGGGGGGAAAAAAUAAACAGAAAUUCUUUUUGAAACUAAUAAUUGAAUUCUUCUUCCCACUUCAAUAACUCUAUUCUCAGUAAAAUCUGCUACAUUAUAUACUGUACAUUCAUUACUGUUAAACCAGCAGAUGACACAAGUGAAGACCUGUUUUCUUUAAUCACCGCUCUUGUUAUUUACUUAAAAAAGCUCCCCCACUUUCAUUUAAAGUCCAUACGUCAAUAUUUUCCCAGCUCCAGACCUCAGUGGACACGGUGCUCCAGCUCAGUGGUCCCGGGGCCAUUAAUGAUCAGGAGCUUUAUUAGCAGGGUGAGGAGGGAAACCAGAGCAGGAAACCCAGCAAGAUGUUUCUGUGUCGGAGCCUUUAAGUCCACAAACCCCCCUGAGGACUGAGGUUCCCUGGUCCUGUACACCUUAAGACUCAGUGUUGCCUCGCACACUCUAAUGAUAUUUAUUCAAAUAUGUGCUUAGACAAUAAAGAGCAGCUCGGGCCCUCUAGUGGACUUUAUCGAUCCGCUAAUCACAUGGAGAAACAUGGAAAAACACAGUCUGAAGGCUAAUGGAAUACAUAUAACUAUCCAGCAAAUAAAAGUAAGAUGUGGUAAUAAUGUAUUAUGGCACAAAAAUUACUUGCAGUUUAUCACACAUUAUAAAAUGAAUUUUAGGUAGAGGUCUGUAUAUACAGUAUGUCAGACGUGGACAUUACUCAGGCCACAUUUACCUAUUCAAUGUCUGCACAAUACAUGAUGGUAAAUGGCUCCCAAUUAAAAACUACUGAUUCUAUACUAUAUUUGAUGCAUUAAUUGGAGUCCUACAUUAAGUGCUACAUUUGGCAUAAUUCCUAUAAAUCCUAUUCAAAUAACAAACACAAAACAGAGGAAUAUGAAGAUAAAAGCGAAUGUUUUUGCAUAACUAACUUGAUAUAAGCUCCCAUCUUCAGCCAGAGCAGAGGGACAGUCAGCCAGAAUGAAUGUACUCAGCUGUUGUUUGGUUGCAGUUUACUUCUUUGUGUAACUGUAGAUGACGCAUUCACAACAUUCUAAUGACCAAAACACACACUUGAUUUGCAGGAUUUCGGUUUUGGUUACUUUGAAAAACAUCUUAUAAUAACUCACAAGCACCUUUUAGCUCCCCGUUUACCUCUUCUGUUGCCUAUUCUCUUCUUAAGCACAUUGUUUGGCUCCUGCCUCUGGUUUUAUCAACAAUAAAACUGCAUUAAAUACUACAGGAAGUAUAACACUUUCAAAAAAUUUACUGACUUAUGUUUAUGUUCAUAAAUAUAGAAUCUAAAUGUUUUUGUUUAUCACUUGUUUAUUCUGACAUCUGAUCGGUAGUUAUUACUGCUGAAACCACUGGUAAAGUAAUCAGAUUGGCAAGCAGAAAUGUGAACAUCAGAAGAUAAUUUAGCGUUCUUUUAGCCAUUCACUAAGCAACAAACUAGCCAAACAUCAAGAUUUGCUGCUUUCAAGAUUCUGGGCUCCUCAUCUGAAAGAGGACAAUUGUGAUAAUGAGUGAUGAAGUGUAAUCUAAGUCACAAAUCAGGGGCUAGAGUCGUGUUCAAACGUUUAAGAUCUUCAAAAAAAUCACUAAGAGAAAUCAGCAGUCGGACAGAGCAGGAUUUAUUGUUGACAAAAAUCCAGGAGUAGUUCGUAGCAGUGAUAACACCCCAAGAAAAACCAAAGAUACUGAGCUGUGCAUUGUUUUUUAUGCUGUGAGCGUUGGUCAUUUUUCCACGCCUAUAGGGCGUUUGAUAGGAGGGACAGUUUUGACAAUAUUAUACUUUUCUAAAUCUAUUAAUCAGAUCGUGAUGUCAGGUUAUCAUAUUUCACACCUAGAUCACACCCUACAGAUGACAUGUGCAUUCGGUUAUCAUCAGGCCAUGUUUUACAGAGAACAUGCCCACACAUGUUCAGACUUUUAGCUCCCAUCUUACCCUCAUUAUUUUGUGACUGAUUUCAUGCAUGAUAAACCAUUAUGUAUUGUUACAUUUCUGAUAUACCUCUUUUAAAAGUUAUAUUGCUUAAAGUUUACACCAUUACGUUUUGAGUACUCCACACAUCAUUUUCUGAAAAGCGUGUGAUUUGUCUUCACACCAACAAUACAUGUUUUACUUUAUGAUUUUACAGCUGCGUGUGUGUAUGUCUGUGGAGGACACACACACAAUACCAUCAAAACAUCAGUGAUUACUAGAACCUUCAUCAUUAUGUAGCUCAUACAUGUCUUUACUCUAUUCUUCAGUUUCAACAGCAUUUACCAUAAUUAUAUAAUCUCUUUCCGUUAGUAUAUUGCACCCCGAAAAUGUUACACUACACGGGCAGCAUGGAGCAGGAGGAUCAGUGCUGUCAUAUGAGGAAUUAAUGAAAUGUUUAUAAGGAAUGUUUAUUGUGAGAGAUGGCACCAACCCAGCUCUCCCAAUGUUGAUCAGGUGUAUAACAGAAAUGUGACAAUACAAAUGGUUCACUCGCAGCCCCAAACUGUUGUUUUAGAUCUAUGUUAAAUGCUUAUUAUACAUUAAAUAGAUGCCUGCUUUAGACAUUAAUAAAUAAAAACACUUAAAACAAAGAUAGUCAGAAGACCUUCCAACUGUGAAAUGCUGGUUUUACAGCCAGAUAUCUAUUGGAAUUCCUGCCAAAUGAAAAAAGAGCAAAAUAAGAUUUGGCAAUUUUCACGUUCAAGUGUUGCAAUUUUUAUACGAGAAAACAGUGUUUUAAAAUUACACGGCUUAAUGCAGAUGUGGUUUCAUGAAUGCCAAAUUUAACUUCUGCAUGUUUUCAGAUCUUUUUAUGAAUAAAGUUUAAUGACGUACUUUGACUAUACCCCAGAGGAAAUGGAGAGCAGACAGCUGGGCUCUGUGACCUCGUGUCUCUGAAGAGACGAGCAGGUUGACACUAAAUGCAGCAUCUUUACUGCUGAUGCAACACGUCUGCGUCACUCAGGAAAGUGUGUGUUUGUUGUUUGUGUGUGUAGCAUAGGAAGUCGGAGCCUCAGGUGUCACUGUUUUAUGUUCAGCCUCAUCCGCUGCCAAAACAGGUGUUAAAGAAGAUAUUUAGUGGAAGCAGGUGGAAAACACCAUGAGGCCAUUCUGGCAGCUGGCAGCUUGUUUGAAAACCAUGUUUUUAGUUUACACGCUGGCAUGCCUGACAAAUACUUCUGAUUGAUUUUGUUGGCACAGUGUGAUUAACUUCAUCUCUUUGCUUUUCUGUCUGUUGUCUUCUCUCUCUCACAGAGUGCCAGAGUCAUAUUGGAAAAAAUGGCAGCGACAGCGAGGGCCUCAAACAUUGAGCGUCCGGAGCUCGGUUAUGAGAGCAUGAGCCACUUCAUCGUUGAUACUGACGACCUCGCUGACAUGCU